GGACGACCAGCCACACUGGAACUGAGACACGGUCCAGACACCUACGGGUGGCAGCAGUCGAGAAUUUUUCACAAUGGGCGCAAGCCUGAUGGAGCGACGCCGCGUGGGGGAUGAAGGGUUUCGAUCCGUAAACCCCUGUCAUUUGCGAACAAUGGUUAUUCGCUAACACCGGAUAACUUGAUAGUAGCGGAAGAGGAAGGGACGGCUAACUCUGUGCCAGCAGCCGCGGUAAUACAGAGGUCCCAAGCGUUGUUCUGAUUCACUGGGCGUAAAGGGUGCGUAGGUGGCCGGGAAAGUUCGAUGUGAAAGCUCGGAGCUCAACUCCGAAAUGGCAUUGAAUACUAUCUGGCUGGAGGGUCGGAGGGGAGACUGGAAUUCUCGGUGUAGCAGUGAAAUGCGUAGAAAUCGAGAGGAACACCAGUGGCGAAGGCGAGUCUCUGGACGACACCUGACACUGAGGCACGAAAGCCAGGGGAGCAAACAGGAUUAGAUACCCUGGUAGUCCUGGCUGUAAACGGUGCACGUUUGCUGUAAGAGGAAUCGACCCCUUUUGUGGCGAAGCUAACGCGCUAAACGUGCCGCCUGGGGAGUACGGUCGCAAGAUUAAAACUCAAAGAAAUUGACGGGGGCCUGCACAAGCGGUGGACUAUGUGGCUUAAUUCGAUACCACGCGAAGAACCUUACCUGGCCUUGACAUGCACGUGGUAGGAGCCUGAAAGGGCAACGACCCCGCAAGGGGAGCGUGCACAGGUGCUGCAUGGCUGUCGUCAGCUCGUGUCGUGAGAUGUUGGGUUAAGUCCCGCAACGAGCGCAACCCUUGUGUCCUGUUGCCACCCGGUCGAGAGACUGGAGCACUCUGGACAGACUGCCUCGCUUAAACGAGGAGGAAGGUGGGGAUGACGUCAAGUCAGGAUGGCCCUUACGGCCAGGGCUGCACACGUACUACAAUGCCCGGCACAAAGGGAAGCAAGACCGCAAGGUGGAGCAAAUCCCAAAAAACCGGGCUCAGUUCAGAUUGUCGGCUGCAACUCGCCGACAUGAAGCUGGAAUCGCUAGUAAUGGCGCAUCAGCUACGGCGCCGUGAAUACGUUCCCAGGCCUUGUACACACCGCCCGUCACAUCAUGAAAGCCGGUUGUACCCGAAGUCACCGCGUUAACUCGCAAGAGAGACAGGUGCCGAAGGUAUGGCUGGUGAUUGGGAUGAAGUCGUAACAAGGUA
rnacentral:rRNA from 1 species